rnacentral:tmRNA from 1 species
GGGGGUGACUUGGCUUCGACGUGGAUUACAAACCCUGAGGUGCAUGCCGAGGUGCGGAUUACCUCGUAAAACAAUUCGCAAUCUUAUAGUUGCCAACGACGACAACUACGCCCUAGCUGCUUAAGCAGCUAGCCUCUGACCAGGGUUUGCUUACGGACGCUGGCUUUCAGGGGUAACACAAUCAUAAGCUCGCGAAGAGGCACGUCCGGGGCCGAAUCGCUAAAACCCACGGAAUCGCCGCUCUCCCGCCCUGCCGUUCGGGUGAUGCGCGGUUAAAAAUCAAUAGAGUCGGAUAAGCAUGUAGAGCCAAUGGCGGAGGAUUUGCGGACGCGGGUUCAAUUCCCGCCACCUCCACCA